UCAUCACCUGUACAUUUUCAAGUAGAGAAAAGCACUAGCGGAAACAUACACAAACGACUUACACGAGGGUAAGUAAUAGCCAUGAGUGAAAGAAAUGAAACUAAACAUCUACACAAGUACUAUGAUUCUCUUUUGAUCACAUACAUAUAUCCAUUUCAUCCAACUUGUACAUUCAUAAAGUCUUUACAUUUCAUUACAUCACCUGCAUCAUUUCUUUUACAUCACAUUUGCCCAAAAUAAACAUUAUAUUCUUUUUCUUUAGUUUAAACAUCUU
rnacentral:lncRNA from 1 species